ensembl:lncRNA
AGCAGAAAUUUUAGUGUUCAUGUGUGAAAUGGUACUGUUUAGGCCUGAUGGAUGCUUAGAAAAAGGCAAACACAGCUGAGUUAGCAGCAUCUCUCUUAUCUAUUGAAGUGAAGUCAAGAAAAAAAUUGGCAAGGACUUGAUUUCUGGGGAGGUGCCCUACAACCCCUACUCACUGUUUGAGAAGAGGAAUUUGAUAUAAUGUAAUUGUGUAGCCUAAGAUGGAAUAUAGAAGAACCAUAAAAAACAAAACAAAAAAUCAUGCAAAACUGAAAUGGAAGAAUCGUCUUUCUCGAUCAUAUAUAUAAAUUCUACAUGAGCAUAAGGAAGGCAAACAAAUCGUCUUCAAACGAUGACAGAGAGAUGCCCUUCAGAAAAAAAAUCAUGGUUAAAAUUCCUUGUUAAUCCCUGAGCAGCAAAUUGUUUGAGAUAUCUGACAGUCAUUCUCGUCUCUUCAUACUCUUCUGUACUGGAAAAACAGUUGUUCUGGAGACUGCAGUGCCAAGGCCUGUCUAGUAAUCUGUGCAGUAACAGGGAAAAUGAAUUAUUAAACUGCUUUCUUUCUUUUAGUAAACAAAUACUCAAAUGAACACUUCACCUCUUUCUUAUUUAUUUCCAUCCUCCUUCUCUCCAUUGGAUUGUGAAGUAUGGCUUGGAUCACAAGAUCACAGUGCAAUGUUCCUUGCAUGGCGUUCAGGGUGUAUGAAGGAGAAAAGGGAAGUGAAGCACAUGAUUCAAUUGCAAGUCACUAGACAUAAGGCUGCCGUUAGGUGCUGUGAUGCAGCAGCAGUUAAACUAGUCAUUUGUGAAAGAAAGGGCUAUGUGUUUGUGGUGGCAUGGCACAGAAGGCUGAGGAUAGAGUAAAAAACAGCAGCUAGCAUAAAAUUCUUCCUUUCAGAAGAUAAUCAUGCUGUGGCUCCUCAAUGAGUUUCAAACUGUUGCCUACUGUGUUGUCUGCUGUUGUUGUAUGGUUCUUAGGAGAGGAGUUAAAGAACACUUCAGAUAGGUAGAGGCAAGGGAGAUGCUUUGGGGAAGAGUUUUGGCAGGAAAUUUUCCUUUGUUUUUUGUUCUAUUGGCCAAAAUAAGUGUUCAGGGCUUUCUUUAAACCUGAAAUGGAGAAGUAUUUUAGUGUGUGCAUAUGUGUGUGUCAGUU